GCCCCCAUAGCUCAAUUGGCAGAGCACUUGCCUCUUAAGCAAUUGGUUACAGGUCCGAGUCCUGUUGGGGGCA
rnacentral:tRNA from 1 species